rnacentral:rRNA from 1 species
AUUGAACGCUGGCGGCAUGCCUUACACAUGCAAGUCGAACGGUAACAGGUCUUCGGAUGCUGACGAGUGGCGAACGGGUGAGUAAUACAUCGGAACGUGCCCGAUCGUGGGGGAUAACGAAGCGAAAGCUUUGCUAAUACCGCAUACGAUCUACGGAGGAAAGCAGGGGACCGCAAGGCCUUGCGCGAACGGACCGGCCGGUGGCAGAUUAGGUAGUUGGUGGGGUAAAAGCUUACCAAGCCGACGAUCUGGAGCUGGUCUGAGAGGACGACCAGCCACACUGGGACUGAGACACGGCCCAGACUCCUACGGGAGGCAGCAGUGGGGAAUUUUGGACAAUGGGCGAAAGCCUGAUCCAGCCAUGCCGCGUGCAGGAUGAAGGCCUUCGGGUUGUAAACUGCUUUUGUACGGAACGAAAAGACUCUGGUUAAUACCUGGGGUCCAUGACGGUACCGUAAGAAUAAGCACCGGCUAACUACGUGCCAGCCGCCGCAGUAA